AUCCAUAAAAGGUGCUUAUGGAGCUUGGUAAUGAUACAAUGUCGUUUUUUUUUUUUUAUGAAUUACUGUGUCAUCCUGAAAUAAGAGCUGAUAAUGGUACUUUGUGAAUCGCUUUGGUUCAUUUUUCAUUUGCUAAUAUAAUUGUUAAUGUUAUAAAGAGUAUAUUCAAGAUGAGCUUUAUGCCCCAUGUCGUGGGUGUUCUUUUUGAAUGCGGAGGAUUUUUGGAUCACGCAAGCAACAAAACAGUGAAGUCGAAAUAAGUCGAUUAUGGAUAAAUUAAGGUCGGGAUCUCGUCAAGUGGAAAGGAAAGAUGAGAAGUCUAGACGAUACGGAGGCAAUAAGUUUUGUUCAUGAGAAGCCCAAUCUAAUGAGGCCUGAUUCGAAGCAUUGAAGACCCAAAUAAGUUGCUGAUAUUGAUGGGGAAGAGAAGUCAAGUUUAAUUAAUGAAGUAGGUGAAAUAAUUAUUGGCUCUUUAAUUAUGAUAUUGGAAGACUAAAUUCUGAUUAAGUUGGGUUGUUGAGUAUAUUUAGUUGAUUUUCAUUCUCAAUGAUGUAAGUAAUACUUUUAGCUGGCUUUGGGUGGUAGUUGGAGUUAAGUGUUAGUCUAUAAAUGAGUUGUAAUCUUCGACCUAUCAUAUCAUAAUUAAAUUACUCUUGCUCUUGAGGCAUUUUCCAUCGUCUAAAUGAAUAUUUAAGCGUGUAUACGUGAACCCCGCUGCAUCAGUUCGAAUCAGAGCAGGAAUUCGCCUAAACUGGCCAACAAGGCGAGUCACAACCAUCCUCUUAUCGAAGAACGAAGGAUGUUCUACAUUCAUGGAGCAGAGAGUUGAGAGGCUUGAUGCACUCAUGAAAGGCAGCAACUGGAAUGAAGAAGACUGAGGCUUGAUACAAUGAGUUAUUCCUCUGGAAGCACGAGGGUUGAGGAGUUAUUGGAAUUGAUGUCUGAUGUAGACGAGUUCCUUCGACUACUAAGACAUUCUCGAUGACGGAAGAUGACUUGAUCGAGCAGUUUAUCGUUUAAGGGGUAGAGCUUCUAUUUGGUGGGAAAGGUUGCAAAGAGAUUGUCUUUAAGAUAAUAAGGAUCCGAUAUUCACAUGGGGGCUUAUGAAGCAUUUGCUAAAGGCUAGAUUCCUUCCUUUGGAAUAUGAGGAGCACCUAUUUGAAUCUCCAAAUGAUUUUGUGGAGUUAAGCCAUUCUAUUCAAACUGAAAAUUCAUAAACGAGUGAUAUUAUGACCUUCGAUGCUGUAAUAAAGGAGGAAAAAGUGCAGAUUGAAGAAGAAGACUCCAAGAACGACAAAAUAGAUGAAGAAGUUUCCGUGAAGGAUGACAAAUCAAAAGAGGAAGAAGAACUAGAGUCCCAAAACAAAUCAACCUUAGAGCAUAAAGAUAUUCAAGUUUUAAUCGUGAAGGAUUCAUCUUUUGAAGAGAAAGUCAUAAAGGUACCAGAUUUAAGUUCUUCAUACAUGGAACUUGAAGACAUUGCAAUUGAAGAUUCAUCAUAUGAGUCAUGUCCAAUACGAGCACCUCCAAAUCAUCCUGAAUGAAACGUUAUAUUUAUCACGUCAGCUCGAGGACGAGCUUCUCACGAGUGUGGGAGAAUAAUGCGGAGGAUUUUUGGAUCAUGCAAGCCACAAAACGGUGAAGUCCAAAUAAGCCGAUUAUGGAUAAAUCGAGGCCGGAUUCUCGUCAAGUGGAGAGGGAAGAUGAAGAGUUUACACGAUACAGAGGCAAUAAGUUUUGUUCGUGAGAAGCCCAAUCUAAAGAGGCCCGAUUCGAAGCAUUAAAGGCCAAAAUAAGUUGUCAAUAUUGAUGGGAGAAAAAGUCAAGUUUAAUUAAUGAAGUAGGUGGAAUAGUUGUUGACUCUUUAAUUAUGAUACUGAAAGACUAAAUUCAGAUUAAGGUGGAUUGUUGAGUAUAAGUAGUUGAUUUUCACUCUCUAUGAUGUACUUAAUGCUUUUAGUUAGGUGGUGUUUGGUUUCAUAAAAGGAUUUUAGAAUUGUGAUUUUAAUUUUGAUUUUGAGUGGUAUAAAUGGGGUCCACCCUUUGACUUUGUAA